GUGCAAUGUGCAUUGGUUAUAAAUUGGGUGUUUGUUUUGGAAAGUUUGUGAAUAUAAAAACCUGGUCUUAAGACUGACGAGAUAUGAAAAGUGAAGCUUGAAAAGUGACUUUUAGGUUUGAAAAGUGAAGCUUGAAAAGUGCAUCUAUAUGGAUAGUUGGGAAACUGUAAUUUUUGAUUCCUCAAGAACUGCAAAAUUUGUUCUCACUGUGUGCCUAUGUCAUUUGUGGUCCAAAAGUUUAGGAUAUUUUGGUACUGAGACUUGACGUUUUCAUUUCGAUUUUAGGUUUGAUAUAGAUGUUGGUGCAUCUAUAUGGAUAGUUGGGAAACUGUGUAAUUUUUGAUUCCUCAAGAACUGCAAAAUUUGUUCUCACUGUGUACCUAUGUCAUUUGUGGUCCAAAAGUUUAGGAUAUUUUGGUACUGAGACUUGACGUUUUCAUUUCGAUAUUGUUGCCACUGAUGAUGAAAAUUAUUGCAG
rnacentral:lncRNA from 1 species